AAAUCAGCAACCCUACUGAUAAAAUGAUCCAAUCAGUCCUUCCCAGUUGUCAAGACAACAGUUCAUAAUUGUACCAGCUCUUUUCAUUGCAGCUAGACAUUUCAUAAAUAGAUAAUUCUCUAAUUGAUCCAGCCAAUCCUACUUUGCAUACCCUGCCAAACUAGUUAUUAAUUGCAGCACAAGGAGGACAAUAUAUCAAAGCUGACCCCAUGCUUCAGAUGUGUUCCAGAAUGGAUCUCCAAGCUGAAGACAGGAGAAUCUGAACAAUGUUUGAAGCAGUGACAAUAUAAUAUGCAGCAAGAGUCCAUCCAGGAAAGCAGUCAUGGCAUUGGCAGGGCAUGAACACCAAAAACCUCCAAACAUGUCCAUGGUGUGAGGAGCCUCCUGCAGGUGUCAAACUGGACUUCUGAGGUGCUGCAGGACUGUGACAGUCUACUCAUCCUUCUGAUCACCGGAAACAUCAGAAUUCCAGGUACUUUACUGCAGAUAUAGGCCUAAAUGGAGCUCAUUUUCACUCAUAUACAGGAUGAAAGUAGUUCCUUCUGCAGGCAUCCUGCCUGGUUGUAGAAACUUCUGCUCUGAUGAAGCUCUGUUGCUCCGAGGUCUUUGUCUGUGUGGAGUCUACAACUCUGGAAUUGGCCAGUUUGCCAUGGAGCCACCUAUAUGGCAGUAAGAUGGUUCUACCUGAAGGUGUAUCAUAAAGCUCUUAAUAUGUAUGCAGUUGCAAGAAUGAACACUGUAAUCCACUUUAAAUUAUAAUAGAUCAUAGCAUGUGAGCUUCUACGCAGCUAAAGCAGUUCAUCAGUUUGGUAGGUUAUAUGAAGUGACAGGAACUCAGCAGCUGAAAAGACAGUCCUGUUUCCUCUAUUAAGGGAUAUAAGACAUAAUAAGAGUAGUUUUAGUAAUCUCACCUAAGUUUCCAAAUUCUGACAAACUCUGGUUCAUGCACAUGCACGUGCAUGCACAUGCAUGACAGUAUUAUAGUGUUCUGUUAUUAGCACAUUUUUAAAUACCUGCAUUUUAUUAUAUAAUUGUCUAUUGUUCUCAGUUCAU